rnacentral:rRNA from 1 species
UGGGGAAUAUUGCACAAUGGGGGAAACCCUGAUGCAGCGACGCCGCGUGGAGGAAGAAGGUCUUCGGAUUGUAAACUCCUGUUGUUGAGGAAGAUAAUGACGGUACUCAACAAGGAAGUGACGGCUAACUACGUGCCAGCAGCCGCGGUAAAACGUAGGUCACAAGCGUUGUCCGGAAUUACUGGGUGUAAAGGGAGCGCAGGCGGGAAGACAAGUUGGAAGUGAAAUCCAUGGGCUCAACCCAUGAACUGCUUUCAAAACUGUUUUUCUUGAGUAGUGCAGAGGUAGGCGGAAUUCCCGGUGUAGCGGUGGAAUGCGUAGAUAUCGGGAGGAACACCAGUGGCGAAGGCGGCCUACUGGGCACCAACUGACGCUGAGGCUCGAAAGUGUGGGUAGCAAACAGGAUUAGAUACCCUGGUAGUCCACACCGUAAACGAUGAUUACUAGGUGUUGGAGGAUUGACCCCUUCAGUGCCGCAGUUAACACAAUAAGUAAUCCACCUGGGGAGUACGACCGCAAGGUUGAAACUCAAAGGAAUUGACGGGGGCCCGCACAAGCAGUGGAGUAUGUGGUUUAAUUCGACGCAACGCGAAGAACCUUACCAAGUCUUGACAUCCUGCGACGGUUCUGGAAACAGAACUUUCCUUCGGGACGCAGAGACAGGUGGUGCAUGGUUGUCGUCAGCUCGUGUCGUGAGAUGUUGGGUUAAGUCCCGCAACGAGCGCAACCCUUAUGGUCAGUUACUACGCAAGAGGACUCUGGCCAGACUGCCGUUGACAAAACGGAGGAAGAUGGGGAUGACGUCAAAUCAUCAUGCCCUUUAUGACUUGGGCUACACACGUACUACAAUGGCGUUAAACAAAGAGAAGCAAGACCGCGAGGUGGAGCAAAACUCAGAAACAACGUCCCAGUUCGGACUGCAGGCUGCAACUCGCCUGCACGAAGUCGGAAUUGCUAGUAAUCGUGAAUCAGCAUGCCACGGUGAAUACGUUCCC